UUGAAAGGAAUCUUUCAGUGAUGUUUUCCAAUUAAAAAAAAAAAAACAAAACCAACCCUGAAACAAUUCUUAUCCUGCAGGGCUUAUUGUAUUACAUAGUCAUACAAUUUCUGAAAGGUUAUACAUGGGACUCACAUUUGGACCAUCAUCAGACAAUAGUUCAGACUCAACAUCAAGCAGAAGGGCUACUGUUCAAAGAGAUUAUAUAAAUUGUCUCUUUCAUUGCUAAUAGGGCAUUCGUGGCUCCAUGUCAGCAGGGGAUGGAGUGUCUUGCUUGUCCAGAUACACGAUCUGCUGCUACAGGCCUGGAAAAAUCUGCUUGUGCUUCCAACCAGAAGUCUCCAGAGGAUUAAGGAGCCUCCAACAAAACUGUUCUGAAAUAGUGCUGAAAUAAAAAAUGUUCACAUGUCCAAAACACUGAUUAAACCUAAAUUAAACCUGAA